rnacentral:rRNA from 1 species
GCAUGCCCUUGGAUCCGAUUGACUGUUCGAUGUAUGGCUCCAGGAUGAACGCUAGCUACAAGGCCUAACACAUGCAAGUCGAGGGGAAACGGCAGCCUUAGCUUGUCUAAGCUGGACGUGCGCACCGGCGCACGGGUGGAGUAACGCGUAUCCAACCUGCCCCACGGUGAGGGAUAACCCGCGGAAACGCGGCCUAAUACCUCAUGGUUCUCCGAGCUUGACAUCAACCUUGGAGUAAAGAUUCAUUGCCGUGGGAUGGGGAUGCGUCUGAUUAGCUUGUUGGCGGGGCAACGGCCCACCAAGGCUACGAUCAGUAGGGGUUCUGAGAGGAAAGCCCCCCCACAUUGGAACUGAGACCACGGUCCAAACUCCUACGGGAGGCAGCAGUGAGGAAUAUUGGUCAAUGGGCGAGAGCCUGAACCAGCCAAGUAGCGUGCAGGAAGACGGCCCUAUGGGUUGUAAACUGCUUUUAUGCGGGGAUAAAGCGGGCGACGUGUCGCCCUUUGCAGGUACCGCAUGAAUAAGGACCGGCUAAUUCCGUGCCAGCAGCCGCGGUAAUACGGAAGGUCCGGGCGUUAUCCGGAUUUAUUGGGUUUAAAGGGAGCGCAGGCCGGGUAUUAAGCGUGUUGUGAAAUGUAGGCGCCCAACGUCUGCACCGCAGCGCGAACUGGUGCCCUUGAGUACGCACGACGUUGGCGGAAUUCGCCGUGUAGCGGUGAAAUAGCUUAGAUAUGGCGAAGUUAACUCCGAUUGCGAAAGCGAGCUCGUUGGAGCAGCGCGGACUGUCGCGUCAUGCUCGAAAGCGCGGGUAUCGAACAGGAUUAGAUACCCUGGUAGUCCGCGCGGUAAACGAUGGAUGCCCGCUAUUUG